rnacentral:misc_RNA from 1 species
AACAAGGCGUACCUGCGGACCUGCGGAGGGAUCAUUACCGAGUUUACAACUCCCAAACCCCUGUGAACAUACCUAUACGUUGCCUCGGCGGAUCAGCCCGCGCCCUGUAAAAAGGGACGGCCCGCCCGAGGACCCUAAACUCUGUUUUUAGUGGAACUUCUGAGUAAAACAAACAAAUAAAUCAAAACUUUUAACAAUGGAUCU